UGAAACACAGCAAUAAGGAAAGUAGAACUUACACUGCUGGCACAGAGAGUCUUCGUUUGCUGAAAGAAGAUCCAGAAAGAAAGUUUGAAAAUGGCCUUUGAGUGUUGAUGCCAAUAUGAGGUGUCAACGGGUUCGCCCGUUAUAGCGAGACAGUAUUAACAUUUGUUAAAUGGCGUACUGGAUUUCCACGUCCUCAACCGUGUUGAUACUCAUUUUGUAUAGACGAAAUGGGUUUUUAUUUUGCACUCGGUGAGAGGUUACUUCGUUCAACCAUUCGCGACUUUAACAUUUAGCGUACUGGUUGAGGUUGCUUUAGCGAUGAAGCAACAAAUAUAGGUGGUACCACGAAACCGAAGCUUUCGUCCUUUAC
rnacentral:ncRNA from 1 species